rnacentral:lncRNA from 1 species
UUUUUUUUUUUUUUUUUUUGGUCUUUUUAGGGUCUCACUGUUGGCAUACGGAGGUUUCUAGGCUAGGAAUCCAGUCGGAGCUAUAGCUGCCAGCCUACGCCACAGCCACAGCAAUGCCAGAUCCGAGCCUCGUCUGUGACCUACACCAUAGCUCACGGCCACGCCGGAUCCUUAACCCACUGAGCGAGGCCAGGGAUUGAACCUGCAACCUCAUGGUUCCUAGUCGGAGUAGUUUCUGCUGCGCCACAGUGGGAACGCCCCUUUUUUCUUUGUUUUUUAAAUUCUGUCUUGGAAUCAUUAUUGCAUGGUUUUUGUGUGUGCUUUGUCUCCCUUCAUGCUUGUAGAGGUGCUGUGAGAUAGCGUUGUAUAGAAGCAGCGGUGCAUGGCUGUUGCUCUGCGUAGAUGGAGGCCGGGCAAGACCUGUGUGCUCUCUGUUCCACAAUGGCUGCUUCCUGCCUGCCUGUCCCGGGGCAGAGUGGGGGGUGUGUGUGUGGGUAAGUGGGUGCUCUGUGAUCUGGAGGAGGCAGAGAUAAGGGAAAGGGACAAUGGAGAAUAAGAAGCUUGGGGCUCUGAGGAGCUGCGGCCUAGGACGGGUGCGCUGCGGCAGGUGGCUGAGGUCUGGCCUUGAGUGAACUUUUUGCAUCGGAACAAAUAUAUUUGGUCAACUAAGCCCUAGUUCUGCCUUUAAUUCUUGAAUUAGAGGUCAGGCAUUCAUUUUUAAUAGUGUAUGGAAAUUCUGAUAAUGGGAAUAGAUUUCUUUCCUUUUAGUUUUCAAGAAGGAACUGAAAAACUGGAUUACACCCUGAUACUUCUGUAGGGUUGUACAAAAUAAGACAGAAUCUGGAUUCAUUUUGUGAUGGUGACUUUACCGAGGUAGAUAUUAUUAUUCUCCAUCAGAAUAUCUAGAAAUACUCUUCCAUUCUCAUUUUUGUCCUCUUAAACUGCUGGAGUGUGCAGAUAAGACAUUUCACAGGAUUGAGAUUUCCUUUGCUCACUUUGCUAAGCCCUGUGUUCUCUGGCUCUUGCAUGCCUGAUUUUUGCUGAUUGCAGGGUCUUAAUAAUGUUUUAAAUUUUCUUCUUUGUCCAAGGGUAUAACUUUACUGUGGAGGGCAAAAUCAUGAUUCUCCAUGGUCUAGGGCUUUUAGGCACUUCUAAACUCCUAAUUUUCAUUUAUGUGGCUUAGUUUCUCCAUUAGACCAUACCAUUAGGGAGUUGUCAUACAGGAGAAAAAGGCGGCUUGACCUUACGGCAGAAACAUCUAAAUGUUUGACAGAUAAAUUUUUUUGGAAAGAAAGUGUGUUUUAGAUAGAGCAUCUAAGCUUUCAGUGCAUUGUAGGGAGAAAGUCCUCUUGAGGCUUCACCCAGUGGUACCAAAGCUGAGACCUCAUGGAGGGUGGCUCUAGGCUCAGUGAAGAGUAGAUUAGAUAAUUGCUUUUGCCCAGUCAACUCAGGCUUUUUUCUGUCUUUGAAUAAAAUAAGCACCAUUCCCUGACUGCUCUAGGAACCAAAUAAAACUUUCAAAAGAGCUGGUUUAGUAGAAAUAAUGUUUACUUUUCAUAGAUUUGUGUGUAUGUUUUUUAAAAAUUCAGUAAAUGGACACAAGACCGUUUGCUAAAAAGCUUGUAUCCAGAAAGGUGAUUUAGAAUUUUUUGUUCAUUUAUCAAAUACCUGAGUACCUCCCCUGUGUCCUGUGUUCUCACCAGACUCUAUGGGAGACUUGCAGAUGCAUCAUCGGAUGUUGACCCUGGUGACGUGGAGCUUGUCCCUCAGUGGGGAGGCAGAUGCUUGGGGCAGGAGGUCAGGUGCGAUCCAGUGUGGAGGAGAGAGCAGUGACCUCUCUCUGAAGGGGAGGGAAUUAGACAGGGUUGCAUGGAGAAGGAGGCAUUCGAUCUGAAUAUUGAAGUAAAGUCGUUUGGUGGGAAAUGAGCUUUUUCCGUAGGUUUUCUAGCACAGGAGUUACGUGGUUACAGUUGUGCUUUAAGAAAACUAUUUCUGGGAUGUGAUCAAAGAUAGAGACCAGAGACUGAGAGGAACCAAUGCAAAACUAACCUUUCUAAGUGGUAGUGGAAACAGAGGUAGAGUUCAUUGAACUUGGCAGUUGGAGCAAUGCAUGGUAUCAAAUGAGGUUUUGUUUUUUUUUUUUUUAAGCCUCAAUAGGUAAUUAGGAGUAUGGCAAUGCCAUUAAAAUUUGGAAACACAGGAGGAGAAACUGAUUAGUAAGAAGAGAGUAGUAAAUAUAAUCUGCCAUUGAGAAAUUGGGUGAUUUUUUUUGUUGUCGUUAGGCCAAUGGGAAUAUUUAAAUAGACCUGGGAAGAAGCCAGGGUUGAAGAUAGGGAUAUUGAGAGUUGGGGCAGUUGGAGCCUUGAGAUGGAAUGAAAUUGCCAAAGUAUUUAGUAUCAAAUGUAUCUUUACCAAGAAUGUCACGUUGCAAAACCUGAAAAUCCUCUAGUUUUAGGACAGGAGUGCUCCAGAAGAGAGAGAGUAUUGUUUAAAGAACUCAAAUCAUUCUUUGAGCUUUUAUUUCUCUCUGGAAUUCUUUCAGUUUGACUCUCAUCUUGGGGAGAUAGUAAAAGCUAGUAGCUUUAAGCGUGCAAACGGAAAGAUAGGGUUUGAAUCCUUGUUCUGCCACCUACCUGCCAUGUAUCCUUGUCAGAGCUAUAGAUCUUCUUGUGCUUCAGUUUAUUCAUCUCUAAGAUGAAGGUGAUAAUGUGUACCUUAUAGGGUUGUUUCUGGAUUAUCCCAUCAUUUAGCCUGCUGCUUGGAGCAUACUAGGUGCUCCAUAAAUGGUAGCUAAUGUUAAUACUAGAUUCUUGCUGAUUCCCCUGCUUCUGAUCUUAAAGGGUACACUACUCCUUUUAACUCUGAAUUUGUACAGGCUUCCCCCUCCCAUUUUUUUCCACUCAGUACAGACAGACAGACAGACAGACAGACAGACAGACACACACACACACACACACACACACACACACGGAGUUCCCUGGUGGCUCGGGUUAAGGAUCUGGCGUUGUCACUGCUGUGACUCAGGUUGCUGUUAUGGUGC